GGCUUCAUAACUCAGUUGGUAAAGUAUUGCACCGAUAACGCGGAGGUCAUCGGUUCAAAGCCCGUAGAAGCCC